UGAGCACUCUACUCAUAUAUGAUUCCAAACUCGAUACUUGUCUAUAAUAUAUAUAUAUAGACAAGUAUCGAGUUUGGAAUCAUAUAUGAGUAGAGUGCUCA
rnacentral:miRNA from 1 species